rnacentral:rRNA from 1 species
UACGUAGGGUGCAAGCGUUGUCCGGAAUUAUUGGGCGUAAAGAGCUCGUAGGCGGUCUGUCACGUCUGCUGUGAAAACUCGGGGCUUAACCCCGGGCCUGCAGUGGGUACGGGCAGACUAGAGUGCGGUAGGGGAGACUGGAAUUCCUGGUGUAGCGGUGAAAUGCGCAGAUAUCAGGAGGAACACCGGUGGCGAAGGCGGCUCUCUGGGACGGUACUGACGCUGAGACGCGAAAGCGUGGGGAGCGAACAGG